UGUUUGCAUGACUACGCGCGCAGUACA
rnacentral:piRNA from 1 species